GUGCCCCCAUGGCCUUGGAACACUGAGUCGGCUCCCCUCGUUUGCAAGGGUGGCCGCCAAGAAUGUCAAGUUGUUGCCUUCUCCUCCCGUCUGCCCACAAGAAACACUGGCCCAGGGUAAAGGUGGUGGUGGGCUCGACUUCAAAUUCCAGAACUGGCAGCCGAUGGGGUGGUACUGCAAGAUAAAACGACCUUCAAAUUUAGCAGAUAAAAUGGCCGUCAGAUAAGCUCCUGAUGAAGGAGAACCCCGGAGCCAGGUCUACCACUCAACUCCAAGAGGAUGAGCCUCAAUCUCCUUCUUGAAAGAUGAGUGAAGGAUAUGACGCGUGGGGCGAAUGAAGGCUGACGAGGACCGUCUGCCCCUCCCUGGCUGUGGCAAGCGGGCCGGAGAGCAUGUGUACAAGCCCUCAUACAAGCAAGGGAGAGGGACAGAGAGAACCUCAAGC